rnacentral:lncRNA from 1 species
CGGGCAGGAGCAGGAGCCGCCCGCCCGGGCAGGAGCAGGAGCCGGCCGAGCAGAAGCCGACCCAUCUUCAGUGUGUUGAACUGCGAGUCUUCUACGCUGUUUUUCAACAAAUACUUGCUCCAUCUGGCCUGAGGAUUCCAUUCUUCGCGUUUGUGGGAGAAGACCUUUAAAAGAAACCGACGUUGAAGGUGAGUUGCUGGGGUGUGCUGCUGUGCACGAAAUACCUCUAUUUUAUUUACUUACUUGUGUUUUAGGGAUUGGCUAGCUUCACUUAGCAUAAUCUGCUCUAACGCCAUCCAUUUCCCUGCAAAUUCUAUGAUUUUGUCAUUUUUUUAAUGCAGAGUAAUACUCCAUUGUGUAUAAAUGCCACAUUUUUUUUAUCCAUUCGUCUAUUGAAGGGCAUCUAGGUUGGUUCCACAGUCUUGCUAUUGUGAAUUGUGCUGCUACGAACAUGGAUGUAGCAGUGUCCCUGUAGCAUGCUGUUUUUAGGUCUUCAGGGAAUAGACCGAGAAGGGGAGUAGCUGGGUCAAAUGGUGGCUCCAUUCCCAGCUUUCCAAGAAAUCUCCAUACUGCUUUCCAAAUUGGCUGCACCAAUUUGCAGUCCCACCAGCAAUGUACAAGUGUACCCUUUUCCCCACAUCCUCGCCAGCACUUGUUGUUGUUUGACUUCCUAAUGGCUGCCAAUCUUACUGGAGUGAGAUGGUAUCUUAGGGUGGUUUUGAUUUGCAUUUCUCUGACAGCUAGAGAUGUUGAGCAUUUUUUCAUGUACUUGUUGAUUGAUUGUAUGUCCUCCUCUGAGAAGUGUCUGUUCAGGUCCUUGGCCCAUUUGUUGAUUGGGUUGUUUGUUCUCUUAUUGUCUAAUUUUUUGAGUUCUUUGUAUACUCUGGAUAUUAGGGCUCUAUCUGAAGUGUGAGGAGUAAAGAUUUGUUCCCAGGAUGUAGGCUCCCUAUUUACCUCUCUUAUUGUUUCUUUUGCUGAGAAAAAACUUUUUAGUUUGAGUAAGUCCCAUUUGUUGAUUCUAGUUAUUAACUUUUGUGCUAUGGGUGUCCUAUUGAGGAAUUUGGAGCCCGACCCCACCGAAUGUAGAUCGUAGCCAACUUUUUCUUCUAUCAGACGGCGUGUCUCUGAUUUGAUAUCAAGCCCUUUGAUCCAUUUUGAAUUAACUUUUGUGCAUGGUGAGAGAAAGGGAUUCAGUUUCAUUUUGUUGCAUAUGCAUUUCCAGUUUUCCCAGCACCAUCUGUUGAAGAUGCUAUCCUUCCUCCAUUGCAUGCUUUUAGCCCCUUUAUCAAAUAUAAGAUAGUUGUAGUUUUGUGGAUUGGUUUCUGUGUCCUCUAUUCUGUACCCUAUAGAGAUUUUUUUUAUAUGAAUCACAGUUGUGAAGCUGGGUACCUCUGUGCAGUACUGGUAGCUAUGCCCAUAUUUGUUUUAGACUUUACUUCCCACCUUUUAAUCGUUCAAUUUGUGCUGCUCUCCAUGGUUCAGUCCAAGAGCCACAUCUUUCAGUGAAUCUUCCCUGAUAAGCCAUUAUAAUUCGUAUUCCAACAUUGGCUUGCCCAUGAUCUCCAGCCCCUGACACAUACUUCUAUUGUGGCAUGUAUCAUGGGGGACAGUUUUGUCUCAUUUAGCUUUUUAUUUGCAGGACCCAGCACAUGGCCUGACAUUUGGUGUUCAAUUGUGUUUUCUGAAUAAACGAGUGAACUUGAUCUAUUGGGUUAAACUUUCAGGGGCUCCAAACCCUUCCCUCUUCCUGGCAGAGUUCUGAAAAGGCUUCCCUGCUGGAGUUCCACAGUGCACCACACCCUUGACAUUGUCCAGAAGGCUUGAUCUUUCUCUGGCACAGCUGUUUCUGCUGCACUUUUCUUCUGCUUUAUUCAUGGAAGGAAGGGUUCUUUUUGCAUUGGUGCAAAACACCAUUGGUGUUGGCAGCUUUUCCUGAGCUUCCAUUUCAGUACUUGCCUUCUCUUACCUCAGUCCCAGAGAAACAUGGAAACAGUGAAUGAAUCGGAAAGCACUGGAGGGACCCUCUCUGCCUGCAUUCACAUUUAGAAGUAUCCUCACUGGCUCUGAACUAGUGUCUUAGGUUCUAAAAUCACCUGCUGGGAGGGAGGGAGCUGCUAUUACUGGAGGUGAGAGGACUCUUGUAGAAGGUUGGGACCACCAUUAACUGAGUUUAGAUAUUUUCCAUAAAUGAAGUAGUGAGUGUGGAGAGCUAGAAAAGUUCCUAACACAUGGGAGACCCUGGAUGACAUGGCUGCUCUUUUUCUUUUUUAAACUCAGCCUUUCUGGAUUUGCCUUGGGAGGUGUGUAGGCAUUAACUCACUCAUUUUGUUACUCACUUAACCAGUAUUUAUUGCGCCUUUGCUAUUUGUGUGAUGAUAACUGUGCUGGGCUUGGGUUUAUAGUGAUGGAUAAGGCAGACAUGGUCCCCAUUUCACUGGGAUUACAGUCUAGUUUAUAGAAGGACUUCCCAAAGAGUUCCUGGGGAACAUAUGCUGACAAGUUUUUUUUUUCCUACAGGUACUCUUCAUGUGCAAGGAAUGAAAGCUUAGUUCUCAGUCUCAGUGAAGGGAGACAGUCCUCUAGGGAACGGUGUGUGUGUGUGUGGUCAUCACAGUGAUAGGAUCAUUCCUGGCAUGUGGUUGGGCAGGGGGCAAGAAUGCCAGCUAUCCAGAAAUUCACUAUACAGUCUGACACAAGGACUUGUCCUGUGUUCCACAUGACUUUUGAAUCUCCCAUGGGACAUUCAUUGAAGUGAAAAUCUUAUUUAUAAUGACCUGUCUGGAAACUAGUUCCAGUUUAUAACGCCAAAUUGCAAGGAAUUCUGUCUGCAUGGCUGUGACCAAAAUUUUCACUGUGUUUGCACUAAUAUAUGUUGUACAUCGAGCUACAGUACAGCACAUAUAUGAAGGCAUGCAUUUAUGUAUCGUUUAAGGUAAGUAAUAUACUCAUUGGGCAGAUCAGAAUAUUUUUAUUGACUAGGAGUCUGUAAUAGAAAAUGUCUAGAAAUCUGUGCUCUAUAAGAAGGAGCUCUAGGCUCAAAAAUCAGAGAUCCUGGGUUCAGGAUGUAAGUCUGCCAUUUGCUGUGUGUGAAGCUUUGUGCAAGUCAUUUAGUAUUUCUGAGCUCUGCAUAGGUCCCAAGGUGGUGCUGAAGAUGAUUUCUACAUACAGAGAUAAGCACUUUGUAUGUACAGGUAGAUGUUUACAAUUAUCAGAGUGUCAUUGUUCUCUGUAUCAUUUGAUAACAGAAGCGAAGACUUCCUUACUUUGGUGUGUCCUCAUCAUAUAAUACAGUAUCCUACACACAAAGAAUAAUUAUAUACAUAUACAUAUAAAUGAUUCUAAACAGUAUUUAUGAUCAUUGGAGUCUUGUAGCUAUGUGAAUACCUUUCCCUUAAUUAGAAUGAAGUAGAAAUUCCAUUGUGAUUAUUUCAUUUCUUCCAUCUCAACAUAGUUUCCACAAAUAAAUAAAUGUCAUGCAUGUUGUCCCUACCAAGAUGGGACAUCUUGGUCUUUGUCACCAAUUUUGGAGAAGAUAAUCAGUUCUACUAAGACAGUAGAUGAAAAGAAAAAAAGAGCAAUUACCUACCAGCUCCCUGAAUCUCUUCCCACCAGAAAUGAGAAGAUUGAAAGUUUGGUUUGAAUCUGAAUGUAGACCCCCUGUGGACAUUUCAGAGGGCAUAGGUUGCUAGGGAUGAUUUCAAUUGUAUAGGAAAUAUUGCAUUUUAAAGCUACCAUAGCAACCUGGGAUUAAUUCUGUGUAGUGCGUUCUGUCCUCUGAGUGGCUAUUUCUGCUAAUUUAUGGGCUCCUUGAGGUCACUAUUUUAUCCCCAUUACCUGGCACAGUGCCUGAUGCUGCUAAAUGAAUGCUCAACCAACCAAUAAAUGGUGUGCACUGUGAGCUAAAGUCUGGGGUAGACAUUAGGUUCCUUUAGGUCAAUAACUGGAGUUAUUUUAAGAAGGCAGAAAGACAAUGGACAGGUUUGGGGAGAAGGAGAUGAAAAGGAAUGAGUGAUGGGCAGCAGGGAGAACGUUAUUUCAUUCUUUUCUAAAAAGGCAAUUUGGAAGAUAAACUUCUUAUAGAAGAAAAAAAAGACCUCAAGAGGGAGGUGACAUGGAGCUUGGAAGGGCGAGGAUACAUCAGAGAGGAGACGUUGCUGAGAAGGCACUUUCCCCAAUUUCUACUGUCAAGAUGCACUCCAGAUGGGAUAUACUGGAUGUACCUUUAUUUAAUCUUAAUCAAGCUACCUCCCUGAUAAAGGCGAUACUAACAAAGGUGUUCUCCAUUAUCAAGCAAAAUAUCAAGUCAUCAUAAAUAUCAAGGCCAGUGUGCAAAAUGUUAAGGUCUUUAGCAGCAUUAGAGAAUAUUUGGGAGAAACAAGCUUUUUACUAUGCAGUAUAAUUUCACAUGGGUGACAAGUUGACUCUGCCAGUUUCACUGUGAACUGCUUAGCAGGAUUCUACAACAAUUUUAGUAUCUGUAAAAAUAUGUACAGGACUUUAAAAAAAACAGCUACAAGACAAAGCUAUGUGGUAAAAAUAGUGUUAUGUGCUAUUUAAUAAUUUAAAAAACUUAUUUUUCACAAAUACCAAUGUUCUUGUCAAAAUUAUUUUUGACAGAUUACAUUUAUUCAACCAUUGUACCACAGUAUCAGUCAAGAGAGUAAUUCUUUAUCAGGUACUCACUGUAUCUGAGAUAAUUUAAUAUAAAUGUUUAAUGAGGUAUUGGAGGAUUGAAAAGGUAUGAAGAUCACUAUGUAUUGAGGCUUUUCAGGAAUGAAGGUUUGGGUUGCCACUCAACUAGAUAAAGAAUUCUAACCAGCCAAGAUCCUGGCUGGAGUAAGGAGGGAAGAAUGGACAGAGACAAAGCUUAAUACCAAGGACAACUGUCUCAUGAUAACUUGUCUUGAAUCAAUGUUAUUGGAUAUGAAAACUUUUAUUUCUGCAGGAUAAGGACAAUGCUCAUCUCACAUUAUGAACAAUGCAAUCCAUCCCAGGGAUUUGGUUAACUUUAUUAGACAAUAGUUUCAAAGAUCGUGUUUCUGAACAGCAGCCACUCCAGCACUAUUACACACAGUAGGAACUCAGUCCUCACCCAGCAAUACCUGUUUCAGGGCUUCACAAUGAGGCAUGUUGGGUCUUCAAUGGGGGACUAUCUUCUAAUAAGAGAAGCUGGUACAAAUGUCCACAUAUAAAGAGGUAGUGAACUACAGUGGAGAGCUUCUCAGAUGUGGUAACACUUGGUAUCAAGUUGGUUAUGGAGCCUGGACUGUAAAGAAGUCCAUUCAUAUUGAAAUAUGGCUCUUGUAAUUGAUUUGAGGGUAGUGUAUAAUGUAGAGGGAAUCCCAAAUGUCAUGCUAACCAGGGUUCCAAUCCUGGGAGAAACUGGAGCUCAACUCAAAGGUAUUGAGGAAGGUUGCUGUUUGGUGGGCAUGGGUAAUCCAGGAGACCACCAGGGAACACAAGUAGUUUUAGGGGGACAUAUUAACUCUAGCCUCUUUUCUUCCCCUUAUAGUAUUACCUAGCAGAGUACUAAGUAAAGCCGGCUGGGUUAUUAUUGGCUAAGGGAUGGCACUGGGCUAACCCUGAAAAUACCAGGUCUCUGCUUUCCACAAUCCUCCCCAGGGAUCAGUACAAAAGACCUGGUAUUUUCAGGGUUAGCCCAGUGCCAUCCCUUAGCCAAUAAUAACCCAGCCGGCUUUACUUAGUNCCAGGUCUUUAGUACUGAUCCCUGGGGAGGAUUGUGGAAAGCAGAGACCUAGAGUUGCCCCUUUGAUCACACUGGCAUCAUCUGAUAGACACCAAGUAAUUUUGCCGGCCUUGAUAUUUUACUGGGCUGGUUAAGUUUGGAAAGUAUCUUUUAAGCAAUAUAGCAAUUGGAAUGAAGUAAUAUAGGAAUAAGGGCAGGCAAAUGUGAGUAGACAACCAGAAAAUGUGGAAUUUCCAUUUUUAUUUUUUUGGGUCUUAUUUGAAAUAUUUUAAACUUCCAGGACUGAAAUAGUUUAAAGCCAAGAGAGAUGGGAGCUUACUACAUAAUGCAUAUCUUUAAGAAAGUAUAAGACUGGGGAUUUCUGAACCUUUUUAUUCAGUGAGAUUGAUUAAUUUGGUCUGAGCAUACCCACAAGAUUAAGUAAAGAAAAACUCUGACAAAUUCAGAUAGUUUGCAUCAGCAAGAAAGUUUAUUGAAAUUCAUUAGUAAAUGAGAACAGAAAGGUUUUCUUUUUUCUUUUUCCAUGAAAAAACACUUUCUGGCAAAGUGAAAAGAAGAACUACAGAAAUCACAAAACACCUUUUAGACACCUUAUUUUCAAGGAGUGAACCUGUUUCCACAGACCAGUAAGACAGAAGUGUUGAACAUUUUGCCAUGCAUCUGUUAUAUAAUGGCCUGUGCGAAGGGAGACUCUUUCGUCUUGAUGCUACUUAUUAGUAGUGCUUCUUGGUUUCUGAUUCAACCAUAGAUGAAAGAACACUACCAUCAGGUGUCACUUCUUCAAUAAUUGUCUUGAUUACUCUGGUUUUGUUAGUAUCUGUGAAUAAUAAUAAACAAACUAGAAUUUAGGUUAAGCAAUUUGUAGGUAUCCUUGCUAAUAAACAUGCAAAUAUUCAAAAGGAAAAACGAUAUUGCACUUUUUAAGAAAGGAAAAUUCAAAUUUUCACAUUAAAAAUAAUCCAAUCAAUGUUUACCCUGUGGGUGGCAUUUAGACCAUGCCACCAUGGGAGUGGAAGAAGGGGAGGUGGGGGAAGUGUUGGGGAGUGAUAUUGGCCAGAUUAUAUGGCAUGCAUGUAUGAAUGCGUAACAAGAAAUCCCAUCCUAAUGUACACCUAUAAAGCACCAAUAAAAAGCUAAAUAAAGAAAAGAAAGCCAUUACAUUAAAAAAAUUUAAAUUGUAUGCUAAUGAAAUUUCUAUAAUGAAUUAUUAUAUUUUAUGCAAUACUAUGUAUUAACUUCUAGUAAUAUAAUAAAUAGCAUAACUUAAUAUUCUGUAAUAACUCCAACUUAUGUAAUAUUUGUGGAUUAUGAAGGUGUUAUGGUUUGGAUAUUAGGUAUCCUCCAAAAGCUCAUGUGUGAGACUAUGCAAGAAAGUUGACAGAUGAAAUGGUUGAGUUAUGAGAGUCUUAAUCUAAUCAGUGCUUUAAUACCCUGAUAGGGAUUAACUGGGUGGUAACUGUAGGUAGGUGGGCUGUGGCUGGAAGAGGAGAGUCCCUGGGGGCAUGCCUUUGGGGUAUAUAUUUUGUUCUUGGUGAGUGGAGUUCUCUACUUCCUCAGGUUGCUUUGUCCUGAGCUGCUAUCCUCUACCACACUCUUCUGCCAUGAUGUUCUGCCUCACCUGAGCCCUGAGAUCUAUGAGCCCUAAAAUAAACUUUUUUCCCCUAAUUGUUCUAGUCUGGUCUUUUGGUCUCAGCAGAGGAAAAAACCGACUAAAACAGAUGACAAGUGAAUGUUGAUUAUUACAUAGAAAGUAUGUGUGGAUUUAAAUAAGAAGGCUCAGUCAUACCAGGUAGAAAAAAAAAAAAAAACAGGAAAAAAACAGAUGAUGAUAGUUCUUGCAAAAUUAGUGCACUUAUUUCAAUAGAGACUUAUUUAAGUUUAAGAUACUUCUCAAUUAGUUCAUCAUAAAAGGGACUUGUUAGUAAGCCGGACAGUUUUUUUUAGGUGUUAGGUCAACAGGCCUCUUGGUGAUCAAACUCAUUUCUCUUUUGGAAAUGAAAUCAUGUUAUUUUCAAUUAGAACAACACCCAAUUAAUUUGUCAGAAAAUUAUUGUAAUUAGUAUAUUAAACAUUCAUCAAAGUUAUAAUAAAUUCAGAAAAAUGUUUUAAAUAAUGAAAAUGCCUACCACAAGAAUGGCACACUUCAGAAAACACCCCUUGUUAAGGGCCUCACAUGAACCACAGAAUUUGGUAACCCUGUUAUUUGAAAAGAGAAUCUGGAAUUGGUACAGAGAAUUAACAUGUUUCUAAAAAAUGGGAAUGAGUGGUGGGUCCAGCUCUUUGGGGGGCAUUUUACAGCAUUUGUGAAAAGUGGAGAAAGUCUCAUCUGAUUAUUCAUGACCACUUAAAGCUCUUGCCACCGGUCACAACUUCUACUUGAAAUUCCCUCUAUUCUGAAUUCAGUGGGUAACAGUGACUUAAUAACUUGGCCUCUUUGAGCCUCAGUUUACCUAUCCAUAGCAUAGGAGACCAGUUGUUGUGAGAAUGAGUACAAUCCAUGUGAAGGCUCCUACUUCAGCGGGUACAGACAGUAGUUAAGGAAGGCCCACAGGCUAGAUUGAGAUUCCAUACCAUUGUUGAAAUUUUAUUUUCCUGUGGUUCUUUCUUAUUUAAAGAGAUUCAACUAUCCUAGGUCAAAUAUCAGAAAAAAGGAUGUCUUUUAAAGAGAUAACAGGAGAAUGUGUUGUCUAAUUUGUGAUUUGUCUCAGUGAUGAUGUUCAUUAAUUGGCUUUACUAAGGUGGUACCUGCUAAAAUUCUCUGGUAAAGUUACUUUUGUUUCCCUUUGUAAUUAAUAAGUAUUUUGUAGAGAAAUACUUUACACUACGUAAAGAUUCCCCUUAUCACCAGCUUUUACUUUGUUCAUUUAUUUAUAUAUUUUGUAUGGAUUAGUGUUUCCUGUUAUUCAGUAGGGUCUAUUGUAUUAUCUUCUGCUACUAACAUUAUUUAUAUUGUUCAAAUUUCCCUAAUUUGGCCAAGGACUGUUUUUGUGUAGUAGACUUCUAUGUACUUUUGGCAUGUUUCCUUCAUUGCCGAAGUUUUUUUUUUUUUUUUUUUUUUUUUAAAUUUUGUUGACACAACCAGACAUCCCAGGCUCAGUUAUAUUCUCCUUGCCCUGGCCCUGUGGUCAGCCAUUUCUCCUCAGUUUAAGAGGAGAAUGGAUAUGGUGCUGAGGGUGCAUUUGCUGUUGCAGUGUAACUGCUCACAGGCCAUCUUGGGAAGCUCUGUAUUUGUACAGAAGUGCAAACAUGCAUUCAUACAUUUGCACACAAACACAUUUACUCUCUGGAUCUCUAUAUAACGGGGAUCAUAAGUUCAUGACACCUCCAAUUCCAGUCCAACACCACAGUACUCUUUCUAGGUUUUUCUUUCCAAAUUUAUAAUUUCCUUUACCAACAAUGAGAAUCACAACAUCCAUUAUCCAUUAUGGAGUCACUUCUCUGAGCAAAGUCCUACUUCCUGUGUGUUGUGCCCUCUCCUCCUGCUGCUGUACCUGGGCUCAGCACUCCAUUGAGCUUCUCUUCUACUUUGACACUGUCCUCACUUCUUGGCUGGGUCUCCUGUUUGUGAAGAUCCCCCCAUCCUCCUUGGGUGCUGAUGUCAUCAUGCCCCAGCCAGUUCCAUGCAGGAUCACUUGCUCACCCUAUUAGGGAUCUAACCUCUGACCUCAGUGCUCCUCUCUUCAGGGGUAUCUUCUUUUCCUCCUUGGGAUUAGACACCCAAACUUUGCUUUUUGCAAGAUCCUGAAAUGAUUUUUUCAUUUUUGUUUCCGGAAGCUUUGUUGUUUUAAUUUUCAUAUUUACAUUUGCUAUUCAUCUGAAAUUGAUUUUUAUGAAUAACAGGGGUCAAUAGCCAUUUUAAAAAAAUGUAAGUCUGUCUGAUGCUAUAUUAAUUGCAAAGAAUAUAAUUUCUUGUAUUAUCUAUAUUUUUGAAUGUAUUUUUAAAGUGUCUGUUUUUUUUCCUAUGGAAACUCUCCAAAAUCUAUCAUCUUGACCCUAAAGUUACUCAUUGCUAUGUUGUGAAACUCGGAUAAAGUGAUUAUUUGCUUAUCUAGAAGACAAAUUAGAACUAGUGAAAGAGAAUAGUAGUAGAGAACUAGGUAAAAGAGAAUAGUACAAUCAGAUUUCCUUUGGACUUUCAAAAUGGGGAAAAUUCCAUUAUCCUGGGUGAACCAGUAAAAGCUGGUUCUUCAGAUUCUUCCAAGUUAUUUGACAGCUCUUGAGUACUCAGUCUUGUACAGCACUCAGAUUCUCCAUGCACAGGCAAGAAAGGGUUAGUGAUAUCCAGAGAAACCUGUCAUAUUAUGCAGUCUGCUUGCUCAGAUCUCUGGGUCACUGUUUGUGAAGAUCUCCUGCUCAGAUGACACUGAAGGAUUUGUGUCUCAUUUGAAAAUAGGUCAACAAUGUUUCCUGUUUCAAAAUACUCUGGGGGACCUUAGGUUUCCUCCCUCUAUAUGUAAUUAUUCCUUCAAUAAUUGCUUUUGUUGAAAUAUUCUUGCUGACACUUCAUGGUGUUGAUGGAUUGUGGAAUUUUAUGAACAAAAGUUGUUUUAAUAUAGGAUGGUUAUAAGGAACUUCUCGAAAACUUUUUAAAAACUGGCCAAUAUUAGACUUCCUGAUGCUGAAACUUUGAUUUUGCCCAAAUCAUCAUGUCUUAAUUUUUUUUUCCCAUAAUGUGUUAGAAUUCUCUGAAGUAAGUUAGUAUUUCAUGUAAAUUUUGUAAACAUAUAGAGAAAGUAUAAACAUGUUUAAACUAGUAUAAACUAGAGCUAAAGACUUCUGUUUCUUGAUAUAGUAUCACAUUUCACCUGUACUAUCUUCUCCACAGACCUGUCAUCUGCAGCAGCCAGGCCUUGGCACAGCAGGGAGGCCUGCUGCAGAAGCCCAUGCCAUGCACCACUGCAGCUGGGUCCACAACCUCAAUUUCCCACUACUCAACCUCCAUUGAGAAAAUGGAAGUGGGGCAGACAUGAAUGAAUGGUGGGAAUAUAGAAUUGACCAAUAGCAUCUUAUCAUUUCCAAACCUGAUUGGACAAAGUCUGGACCAAUAGCAUUGGUACAUUUUUCAAACCCUAAUUAGCAUAACUUUGAGCCAAUCACAGUGACCCAAGGGCUAUAUAAGCCCUCUUGCCAGCCACACUUCGCAGAAGAUAACUGAAGACAGCGGAGCAGAAGAAGACGGCGGAGCAGAAGAAGCCGGCGGAGCAGAAGCCGAAGCCGGCGGAGCAGAAGCCGAAGCCGCCGGAGCAGAAGCCGAAGCCGCCGGAGCAGAAGCCGAAGCCGCCGGAGCAGAAGCCGAAGCCGCCGGAGCAGAAGCCGAAGCCGCCGGAGCAGAAGCCGGCCGAGCAGAAGCCGGCCGAGCAGAAGCCGGCCCAUCUUCAGUGUGUUGAACUGCGAGUCUUCUAUGCUGUUUUUCAACAAAUACUUGCUCCAUCUGGCCUGAGGAUUCCAUUCUUCGCGUUUGUGGGAGAAGACCUUUAAAAGAAACCGACGUUGAGGGUGAGUUGCUGGGGUGUGCUGCUGUGCACGAAAUACCUCUAUUUUAUUUACUUACUUGUGUUUUAGGGAUUGGCUAGCUUCACUUAGCAUAAUCUGCUCUAACGCCAUCCAUUUCCCUGCAAAUUCUAUGAUUUUGUCAUUUUUUAAUGCAGAGUAAUACUCCAUUGUGUAUAAAUGCCACAUUUUUUUUAUCCAUUCGUCUAUUGAAGGGCAUCUAGGUUGGUUCCACAGUCUUGCUAUUGUGAAUUGUGCUGCUACGAACAUGGAUGUAGCAGUGUCCCUGUAGCAUGCUCUUUUUAGGUCUUCAGGGAAUAGACCGAGAAGGGGAGUAGCUGGGUCAAAUGGUGGCUCCAUUCCCAGCUUUCCAAGAAAUCUCCAUACUGCUUUCCAAAUUGGCUGCACCAAUCUGCAGUCCCACCAGCAAUGUACAAGUGUACCCUUUUCCCCACAUCCUCGCCAGCACUUGUUGCUGUUUGACUUCAUAAUGGCUGCCAAUCUAACUGGAGUGAGAUGGUAUCUUAG